CCUGCCCCUAGAAACAUUGCAGGUGUGGCUGCUGAGUCACAUGUGCAUCAGUAGAUGGCAGAGAGGACAGAGGCAAUGUCUAAGUUCAGUGUUCUGACUUGUGCACAUCUGAAUUAUUAAUAACCUAACAUU